rnacentral:lncRNA from 1 species
GUGUGACGAAGGAGAAAAUCUCCUUAACUUGUUGGAGCAAACCAAUCAUGUUUGUAAAUUCCUAAGUAAACGUCACAUAGAAAGUCCUUGGGUGUUGAUGGUUCUUCUAGAAAGUUUAAUCCUUUCAGGAAGUUCCUCCACCUGAUGGCAGUCUCAUAUUCCAUCGCCUGGAGCAGCAGCAUCGCUGCUGUUACCUUUCAGGACUGGCCAUGACACAUACAUAUGCUGCUAAUUUUUUUUUUAAAAAAUAAACUAACAUAGAGUAGGCAUAUUGUUUUGUUUUCUACCCAACCGCUUCUUGCUACAAGGAGUGGGUAGUGUCAAGUGUGACAAAGGAGAUUUUUCUGGGUGAAAUCUCUUUUAACUUGUUGGAGCAAACCAAUCAUGUUUGUAAAUUCCUAAGUAAAUGUCAUAUAGAAAGUCCUUGGGUGUUGAUGGUUCUUCUUGAAAGUUCAAUCCUUCCAGGAAGUUCCUCCACCUGAUGGCGGUCUCAUAUUCCAUCGCCUGGAGCAGCAGCAUUGCUGCCGUUACCUUUCAGGACUGGCCAUGAGACACACAUACACUGCUAUUAUAUUAUUAUUAUUAUUUUUAAAAGGAUUAAACUAAGCAUAGAGGAGACAAUGGUUUCGUUUCUACCCAACUGCUUGCUACAAGGAGUGGCUGGUGUCAAGUGCGACGGAGGAGAUUUUUCUGGGUGAAAAUCUCCUUAACUUGUUGGAGCAAACCAAUCAUGUUUGUAAAUUCCUAAGACAACGUCACAUAGAAAGUCCUUGGGUGUUGAUGGUUCUUCUAGAAAGUUCAAUCCUUUCAGAAAGUUCCUCCACCUGAUGGCGGUCUCAUAUUCCAUCGCCUGGAGCAGCAGCAUCGCUGCCUUUACCUUUCAGGACUGGCCAUGAGACAUACAUACACUGCUAUUCUUUUACUUUAAAAAAAAAAACUAACAUAGAUUCGGCAUAUUGUUUUGUUUUCUACCCAACUGCUUCUUGCUACAAGGAGUGGGUAGUGUCAA